rnacentral:rRNA from 1 species
CCAAUAGCGUAUAUUAAAGUUGUUGCAGUUAAAAAGCUCGUAGUUGAAUUUCGGGAUCAAUAUGUCGGUCGUGCCUUCGGUACGUACUGGUAUCAUUGGUCUCUCCUUUCUGACGAACCAUGAUGUCAUUAAUUUGGUGUUAUGGGGAGUUAGGACUGUUACUUUGAAAAAAUUAGAGUGUUUAAAGCAGGCUUUAGCUUGAAUACAUUAGCAUGGAAUAAUGAAAUAGGACGUUCGAACCUAUUUUGUUGGUUUCUAGGAUCAACGUAAUGAUUAAUAGGGAUAGUUGGGGGCAUUAGUAUUCAAUUGUCAGAGGUGAAAUUCUUGGAUUUAUUGAAGACUAACUACUGCGAAAGCAUUUGCCAAGGAUGUUUUCAUUAAUCAAGAACGAAAGUUAGGGGAUCGAAGACGAUCAGAUACCGUCGCAGUCUUAACCAUAAACUAUGCCGACUAGGGAUCGGAUGAUGUUAAUUUUUUAAUGACUCAUUCGGCGCCUUACG